AUUGAACGCUGGCGGCAGGCCUAACACAUGCAAGUCGAGCGAGCGGCGGACUGGUGAGUCAUGUCUGGGGUUCUGCCCGAUAGAGGGGGAUAACUACUGGAAACGGUGUCUAAUACCCCAUACUAUCGGCUGCACCCAUAUGGGAUUAGCUAGUAGGUGUGGUAAAGGCUCACCUAGGCGACGAUCUCUAGCUGGUCUGAGAGGAUGAUCAGCCACACUGGGACUGAGACACGGCCCAGACUCCUACGGGAGGCAGCAGGGGGGAAUAUUGCACAAGGGGCGCAAGCCUGAUGCAGCCAUGCCGCGUGUAUGAAGAAGGCCUGAGGGUUGUAAAGUACUUUCAGCGGGGAGGCGUUACCCGCAGAAGAAGCACCGGCUAACUCCGUGCCAGCAGCCGCGGUAAUAC
rnacentral:rRNA from 1 species